rnacentral:rRNA from 1 species
AUUGAACGCUGGCGGCAGGCUUAACACAUGCAAGUCGAGCGGGGUGAUGGUGCUUGCACUAUCACUUAGCGGCGGACGGGUGAGUAAUGCUUAGGAAUCUGCCUAUUAGUGGGGGACAACAUCUCGAAAGGGAUGCUAAUACCGCAUACGUCCUACGGGAGAAAGCAGGGGAUCACUUGUGACCUUGCGCUAAUAGAUGAGCCUAAGUCGGAUUAGCAAGUUGGUGGGGUAAAGGCCUACCAAGGCGACGAUCUGUAGCGGGUCUGAGAGGAUGAUCCGCCACACUGGGACUGAGACACGGCCAGACUCCUACGGGAGGCAGCAGUGGGGAAUAUUGGACAAUGGGGGGAACCCUGAUCCAGCCAUGCCGCGUGUGUGAAGAAGGCCUUAUGGUUGUAAAGCACUUUAAGCGAGGAGGAGGCUCUUUUGGUUAAUACCCAAGAUGAGUGGACGUUACUCGCAGAAUAAGCACCGGCUAACUCUGUGCCAGCAGCCGCCGUAA